rnacentral:tRNA from 2 species
CGGGGUGUGGCGCAGCUUGGUAGCGCGCGUCGUUCGGGACGACGAGGUCGCAGGUUCAACUCCUGUUACCCCGACCA